CCUACGUGUGCGUGGGUCCAGUACCUAUUGGACAGGCGUCUAUGACGUCGGGGCCUUAGGUGUGAAUGUCUACCGAGGACUGCUAUCAGGCAUAAAUAUACGGGGCCCGUGAUACGGGAGCGUAUUUACCUCCGACCCUGACGUUAGACACGCUAUUCUAAGUUAGUAAACGCGUCGUAGCAGUUGGAAGAAAAAAAAAAAAAAACAGCGAUCCGUCCUGCACAACUAUGCCGACUGACUGUAAGUAUUCAUAUGAGUGUAUCAUGAUUAUAUUAUGACUGUCUAUGUGAAUCAGCUGUUUAUAUCUGACCGUAGCUGCGAUUACUUCACAGCGAAUUGCCGGUGCCGGAGGCGAGAGCGUGAAACAGCAGCAGGGUCCACGUGGAAAUUUGCCUGAUAUUCGGCUCAACAUUCAAAGACCGAUUCUAGCAGACCAGACUAAUGUGCUGACAAGCGGUAGUUUUGUACCUAUCGAGGCCAAUGUCAUUCAGCGAACCCCCGGACCAAAUCGACUGUCCAAGAAGAAUUUGAAAAGAUCGGCGGGGGUAGUGGUGGCUAUACCCUGUUCACCACUGGCCAUAGAACAGCUACAAAUUCCUUAUAAAAAGGCUCGCAAGGAUGCCACACAUAAUGGUUUAACUCCGGAGAAUAUUACCCAGGUUAUACAGGCAGUCAUAAAUCCGCAAAUUGCGCCACAUGGAGCGGCAUGGACUGAUCCCAAACACCGGGUGAUCGGGGACGUGGAGGUGUAUGUGCAUGAGUCGCCUACAGAGACCGUCACUGUGCAACCGGAUGGGACUAUACAGCACGCAGCCCAUGGAGAUCCCCAGUGUGCGCCACCACCAGAGCUGACCGCCGACGAUUGGGCUGGUCUUGACGACAUCUCGUCCUGGACUUCAUCGCUGUUGGCAGUGGAUCGACUCUCCAGCUACAUCCGUAGAGGCUACCACCAGUGCAGAGCCUGUACAACACCAUCAGCCUGCAGAUCCUGCAUCUGGACCCCUACAAGCCGUUCAAGACCCUAUCAGCGACCCCCCCGUGCACCGUGAGUCCCAUCGCUCAUGAGGUAGCGGUGCCGAGGCUACCAGCCGGUCCCGCAAUUGCUGUUGAUGAACACCAUGCAGGGGUGCAAGGUGAUAAAUGGCGUAAACAAUUUGCUGAUAAACUAGCUGUGUUAACUGCGUCGGUAGAUGUAAACUCCUUAGGCAUUGCUCGUCAGCGUAAACUGGGG
ensembl:lncRNA